rnacentral:pre_miRNA from 1 species
UCUUACGGACGUGGAAAGAAAGUGGCUUCUUGACAUGGAAUCUACUUCUGGUGAAGAUGCUGUGAA